rnacentral:rRNA from 1 species
AUUGAACGCUGGCGGCAGGCCUAACACAUGCAAGUCGAGCGGCGCGUCGGACGGGUGCGUAAGUCCUAGGAAUCUGCCUGGUAGUAGGGGAUAACGUCCGGAAACGGGCGCUAAUACCACAUACUAUCAGAGUAGCCUAGGUUGGAUUCGCUAGUUGGUGGGGUAAUGGCCUACCAAGGCGACGAUCCGUAAAUGGUCUGAGAGGAUGAUCAGCCAAAGUGGAACUGAGACACGGCCCAGACUCCUACGGGAGGCAGCAGUGGGGAAUAUUGGACAAUGGGCGAAAGCCUGAUCCAGCCAUGCCGCGUGUGUGAAGAAGGUCUUCGGAUUGUAAAGCACUUUAAGUUGGGAGGCGUUACCAACAGAAUAAGCACCGGCUAACUUCGUGCCAGCAGCCGCGGUAAUAC